GACGAACGCUGGCGGCGUGCUUAACACAUGCAAGUCGAACGGAAAGGCCCUGCUUUUGUGGGGUGCUCGAGUGGCGAACGGGGGAGUAACACGUGAGUAACCUGCCCUUGACUUUGGGAUAACUUCAGGGAACUGGGGCUAAUACCGGAUAGGAGCUCCUGCUGCAUGGUGGGGGUUGGAAAGUUUCGGCGGUUUGGGCUGGACUCGCGGCUUAUCAGCUUGUUGGUGGGGUAGUGGCGUACAAAGGCUUUGACGGGUAGCCGGCCUGAGAGGGUGACCGGCCACAUUGGGCCUGCGAUACGGCCCAGACUCCUACGGGAGGCAGCAGUGGGGAAUAUUGCACAAUGGGCGGACGCCUGAUGCAGCAGCGCCGCGUGCGGGAUGACGUCUUUCGGGUUGUAAACCGCUUUCGCCUGUGACGAAGCGGGAGUGACGGUAAUGGGUAAAGAAGCACCGGCUAACUACGUG
rnacentral:rRNA from 1 species